AUUGAGCGCUGGCGGCAUGCUUUACACAUGCAAGUCGAACGGUAACAGGGUGCUUGCACCGCUGACGAGUGGCGAACGGGUGAGUAAUGCGUCGGAACGUGCCGAGUAGUGGGGGAUAACGCAGCGAAAGUUGUGCUAAUACCGCAUACGUACUGAGGUAGAAAGUGGGGGACCUUCGGGCCUCACGCUAUUCGAGCGGCCGACGUCUGAUUAGCUAGUAGGUGAGGUAAAGGCUCACCUAGGCGACGAUCAGUAGCGGGUCUGAGAGGAUGACCCGCCACACUGGGACGGAGACACGGCCCAGACUCCUACGGGAGGCAGCAGUGGGGAAUUUUGGACAAUGGGCGAAAGCCUGAUCCAGCCAUGCCGCGUGUCUGAAGAAGGCCUUCGGGUUGUAAAGGACUUUUGUCGGGGAGGAAAUCCCCAGCGUUAAUACCGCUGGGGGAUGACAGUACCUGAAGAAUAAGCACCGGCUAACUACGUGCCAGCCGCCGCCGUAACAC
rnacentral:rRNA from 1 species